UGGGAAUUUUGCGCAUGGGCGAAAGCCUGACGCAGCGACGCCGCGUGAGGGAUGAAGGCCUUCGAGGUUGUAAACCUCUGUCAGGAAGGAUUAAAGUCUAAGGGUUAAUACCCCUUUGGAUUUGACUUAACUUCCAGAGGAAGCCCCGGCUAACUCCGUGCCAGCAGCCGCGGUAACACGGAGGGGGCGAGCGUUGUUCGGAAUUACUGGGCGUAAAGCGCACGUAGGCGGACUUUUAAGUCAGAUGUGAAAUCCCGGGGCUCAACCUCGGAACUGCAUUUGAAACUGGGAGUCUAGAGGUCAGGAGAGGUUCGUGGAAUGCCGAGUGUAGAGGUGAAAUUCGUAGAUAUUCGGUGGAACACCAGUGGCGAAGGUGACGAACUGGACUGAUACUGACGCUGAGGUGCGAAAGUGUGGGGAGCAAACAGGAUUAGAUACCCUGGUAGUCCACACCGUAAACGAUGUCUACUAGCCGUUGGGGAACUUGAUUCUUUGGUGGCGCAGUUAACGCGAUAAGUAGACCGCUGGGGAGUACGCCGCAAGGU
rnacentral:rRNA from 1 species